AAGCUCGCUUUGGCAGCAUAUAUACUAAAAUUGGAACCGUACCAAGAAGAUUUACAUGGCCCCUGUGAAAGGAUGACACCCAAAUUCCUGAAGUGUUCCAUAUUUUU
rnacentral:snRNA from 1 species